rnacentral:rRNA from 1 species
UACGGAGGGAGCUAGCGUUAUUCGGAAUUACUGGGCGUAAAGCGUACGCAGGCGGCUUUGCAAGUUAGAGGUGAAAGCCUGGAGCUCAACUCCAGAACUGCCUUUAAAACUGCAUCGCUUGAAUCCAGGAGAGGUGAGUGGAAUUCCGAGUGUAGAGGUGAAAUUCGUAGAUAUUCGGAAGAACACCAGUGGCGAAGGCGGCUCACUGGACUGGUAUUGACGCUGAGGUACGAAAGCGUGGGGAGCAAACAGG